rnacentral:lncRNA from 1 species
UGGUGGAAUCUGUCGGAGGCUGAUUGUCCGGCCACUCCCUGCUGGCGACCAUAGCUGGAGGAUGCGGGGCCUGGGAAACCAUAGGCACGAUCGGGGUCCGGGAUACAGCUGCGGAGGCCGUGGGUAUUGGCACGGACGCUUCGCGAGAAGGCAUCAGGCGAGGAUCCCGUGGGGGAAACAAGGAAUGGAUGUCGGAGGAGGCGAUCGGAGGUGGUUUCGUUGAGCGCUCCUUUAAGAACAAGGGUACUGUAGAGGUUCGCACCCUUCCUCUAGCGCCAAUCCUAUUGGUGCAAAAAUUCGCUUGCGCCGGAGAAGCUGGAGUCGAGGGAGUCGCGGUCACCGCCGGGACCUGCAAAGGAAGUCUAAACCGGAGGUGGGGUUGCUCCGGCAAGACCCUCCGAUGCUCAAGUCAGUCUGCCUCAACAAGAAUAGAGUGCUCGAACAGAGAAUUUAGCAGAGUUUUGAGAUGAAAAAAAAAUGAGAGCUUAUAGAACAAUGUAUCCGGGGCCCCCUUUUAUAGGCG